ACGGGUGAGUAACACGUGAGUAACCUGCCCUUAACUCUGGGAUAAGCCUGGGAAACUGGGUCUAAUACCGGAUAUGACUCCUCAUCGCAUGGUGGGGGGUGGAAAGCUUUUUGUGGUUUUGGAUGGACUCGCGGCCUAUCAGCUUGUUGGUGAGGUAAUGGCUUACCAAGGCGACGACGGGUAGCCGGCCUGAGAGGGUGACCGGCCACACUGGGACUGAGACACGGCCCAGACUCCUACGGGAGGCAGCAGUGGGGAAUAUUGCACAAUGGGCGCAAGCCUGAUGCAGCGACGCCGCGUGAGGGAUGACGGCCUUCGGGUUGUAAACCUCUUUCAGUAGGGAAGAAGCGAAAGUGACGGUACCUGCAGAAGAAGCGCCGGCUAACUACGUGCCAGCAGCCGCGGUAAUACGUAGGGCGCAAGCGUUAUCCGGAAUUAUUGGGCGUAAAGAGCUCGUAGGCGGUUUGUCGCGUCUGCCGUGAAAGUCCGGGGCUCAACUCCGGAUCUGCGGUGGGUACGGGCAGACUAGAGUGAUGUAGGGGAGACUGGAAUUCCUGGUGUAGCGGUGAAAUGCGCAGA
rnacentral:rRNA from 1 species